rnacentral:misc_RNA from 1 species
UCCAGUUUAUCACUGGCAGUUUCCUUAUAGUUCCCGACCGAAUCGCUGGCAAAUAAGGAUAAGGGUUUCGCUCGUUGCGGGACUUAACCCAACAUCUCACGACACGAGCUGACGACAGCCAUGCAACACCUGUGUGUGGUCCAGCCGAACUGAAGAAUCUCAUCUCUGUGAUUCGCGACCACCAUGUCAAGGGUUGGUAAGGUUUUUCGCGUAGCAUCGAAUUAAACCGCAUGCUCCACCACUUGUGCGAGCCCCCGUCAAUUCCUUUGAGUUUUAAUCUUGCGAUCGUAGUCCCCAGGCGGAGUGCUUAAUGCGUUAGCUGCGAAACCGAGAAAUAAAUUCCCGAUAUCUAGCACUCAUCGUUUACAGCGUGGACUAC